GAUGAAAUUAGCAGCAGCAGCAGCUCAUCUCUAAACACAUCCAUAGUAAUUACUAAUGAAAGCACCUAUAUCAUCACCUUAUUCACAUCUCCAGGUAAGACUUUAAUUCACAUUACAGGUAACAGACACUAAUAAAUGUAAAGUCUGCAGCUGUCAACUUGAACAGAUGUCUCACUGGCUGUUAGCAAUCUCAGAUUGGAGUUGUUCUGAUUUAUAUCCUGAUUAUGAUUUUAAAAGGCUCUAAAUGUUUUGUGUGACCACUAUUAAAUACUACGAGAGGUCUAUGAACUUACAGACUCCAUGGGUUGUAAAGUGUCUCCAGCCAGGCCCUGAGAAUUUCUAGUCUAUUAUAAUAUUAGGCUUGAUUGAUUUCAUUAAAGGGCAGCAAUUACACCAGUAAACUACUUGAAAUACAGCUGACUGUCUCUGAGCUAUGUUUCUAAUGCAUUUUUAAAUCUUUUAACUUAAUGUAUUUUAGUUUGUCUGCAGCUACUUGAGUAAUGUAAGAGGGAACAGCUUGUUUCCUUCAGAAUGGAGAUACUAUUUGUGAAAUAGCCUUUGCAGGAGUGAGUCACUGGUGAAAGAAGGAAGUUCAUUUAAUAUGCUUCCAUGAAAACUGCAAAAAGAGAACUGCGUUUUCAGUUUGUCUGAAAGGAAACGGAGGGUUCAUAAAGUCAGGCAUCGUUAAAUAUGGGGUCUUCAGCUGCCACAUGAAAUAAACUCCUUUUGUUAUGAUUUUGAAGGCAUUCAGAAAUGAUAUCUGGAGUGUCAAAAGUUUAACAUCUCAAGUUGCUGAGCCAAACUCAGUCCUUGCUAGAAACAAGUACUGCAUGAAGUACUUGGUGCAGUCACACGUAAUUAACUCUGAGGCAGAGCCCCCUCCGUGGUGGUAGGGGACCUGGCAGUGAAGAGUGCACAGAUUGCAAGUCCAGAGAGUGGACAUCAGGUGCCCACCCAGAGCAGUUCAUUCCUGAGUAUGCACAGGGGCUGGUCUGGCUGUGAGCAUCAGGUGGAGCCAGACACCGCUUCUGCCUGUGCACAUCCCAUGUACCUCUGGAUUGCAUGCACAGCAUGGAAAGGACCUCGCAGGAGGCACCUUUCACCCCAGAGGGCUCAGAUCACAAGUCCUGCUGGAGGGUGGUGCUGCCAUGGGAACACAGGGAGCCUAUGAGCCAAGUUCAGGCCUGGAAUUCAGCUCCACUGAUUGCAGUUGGUGUCUGAUCAGCACCACGUAGACCAGUCCUGCUGGGAUUUGCUGACUUCAACUAAAAAUUGUCAUGUUAGGUUUGUUUUCAUUUUAGUCACUGUCAGAGGCUUCAUCUAGGGCCCUUCUUUUUAGACAUGAACUCUUACUGGAGCCUUUGUUUUACAGGCUAUAUAGUCAUGAAUCCAUUCAGAAAAAAGACCAUCUCUUAGUUCUUCACUGUCCUGAUUGACUCAUGACAGCUUUCAUUCAGCAAAAUGUAACUUUGGUAUCUUUCCUUCUAAGCCUUUUCAGCACAUUCUGACAGAUUCAGGCCUGCCCUCCAGUGGAUGUAUUUUCUGCACUUUGGUUUGACUUGAUUCCUUGUAAGAAAAAACUGCUGAAAAAAGCCAACCAAAAUCACACAGUACUACUGGAAAAGCUUAACAGUUUUGAAGGUUUUUCCAUAGGCAGCUACUGGAGUCAAGCCCAUAAGAGAAUGGAAACUGAUUGGAAGCAGGUGGCACCAGCUGCCCAUGGCCAGUGCUGGCUCCAAGAUGACACCAAGGUGUGCUCAUGUGCCUUGUGUGAAAAUCUGAGUGGUACCCAGAGCCAGGGAAGUGACAGCUCCAGCUCACAGGCCGCCUCCAGCAGCACUGGAGAAAGCCCUCCU